GAAGUGACCCGGAGAAUCGCGGAGUCGCAAGGCUCCGAGGAAAGUCCGAACUCCCACGGGCAGCAGGCUGGCUAACGGCCAGGCGCGGCGACGCGACGGAAAGUGCAACAGAAAAUAAACCGCCGAUCACGAUUCGCAAGAGUCGUGAGGUAAGGGUGAAACGGUGCGGUAAGAGCGCACCGCGUCCCGCGUGAGCGGCGACGGCAUGGCAAACCCCCUGCGGAGCAAGACCAAAUAGGGACGUGAUGGAACCGCCCGUUUCCGUUAUCAGCGUCCGGGUAGGUUGCUCGACCGCCGCGGCAACGCGAGCGGCAGAUGAAUGAUUCUCGUCCCGACUCCGAGCGCAAGCGAGGAGAAGGGAAACAGGAUUCGGCUUACAGGGUCACUUCACGC
rnacentral:RNase_P_RNA from 1 species